AAAUAAAACACUUUUCUUUGAAAGGGAAUUAUUUGGUACCUAGAGAAAUACCAAAAUCCGUACUAGAUGGCGUUUCUUUACCAAUAACUAAAACAUAUUUAUUCAUUAUCAUCACAGAAAUAUCAUUAAUAAGUAAAAAAUAUGCAGAUAAGCCCUUACAAUUUAUGUUGACUCAUGGAAACUACGAAACAUCUUUUGAGGAAAGUUCCUUCAGUUCUUCAUUCCCAUUGAAACGGAUUAACUCGAAGUACUGUUAUUUGAAAAUAGAAGGCAAAAGACCUUGUUUACAUUUACCAGCAGAAUGGGUUGAUUUUAGAAGAAAACUGUUUAAUACUAAUAUUUUAGAUAAAUUGGCUAACAAAUUAAAAAGACGAGUGUCACAUAUAGAAAACUUACUAAAUGAAGGAAAAUAUUCUGAAAUCAAUGGCUUAAUGGAUGCGUCUAUUGAUG